AUUUGCGCUUUCAGAGCUGAAAACAAACCAGAGCUCGAAAGUCUCUGCUUCACCAUCUCCGUGCUUGUAACAGGCUGGUGGACUUGGUGCUGGGGACGGCCUUUGCCCUUUGGCUCCGUUAAAAUGAUUAUUCUGGCCCCAUCACAGAAGCCCUGACUCGAACGGCCUAAACGUUGGUGCACCGGGUUGGGUGAGGAAAGACGGAGGUAGCACACCAUCUAGCAAUCUGGACAGCUAUAGGAGCAGAUCCGCCGCUCGCAACAGCUGACGGAGCGGCGACUGCGGAGCCCGAGGCGGCGGCACACGUCCGACCCGUCCUCCCGCCGCCGCGCUGGGGGCAGCCGGAGCUGCAGCCAGGAGCGGAUCCUACCGCGCGGGGCACCACCCCGCCGGCCGCAGGACGGGGACGGGCGCAGGCCGCGGCCAGGGGGACCCAGCCGCGUCCACUCGUCCGACCUUGCCGCGUUCAGCGUGCACCGACUACCGGGCUGCAGGCCUCCCCGGCCGCCGGCCCCACCCGGCCGCACCCCGGGCUGCGCGGCGUCACAGAGCGCAUGCGUGCCGCGGGGGAUGCCGGGAGCGCGCAGUGGCGGCAGCGGCGGCGACGGCAGUAACAGCGGCCGCUCGAGCGGGGACACCGGCGGGGCGGUGACCGUGUGGGAGGUGGUCUCACUCUUGGGGAAACUGCUGGGGACCGUCGCCGCGCUGAAGGUGGUUCUGUACCUGCUCCGGGUGUGCUUCGCGAUGGCCUGGAAAUCCGGCGGCGCCAGCCACUCGGAGCUAAUCCACAACCUCCGCAAAAAUGGAAUCAUCAAGACAGAUAAAGUAUUUGAAGUGAUGCUGGCUACAGACCGCUCCCACUAUGCAAAAUCUAACCCUUACAUGGAUUCUCCUCAAUCAAUAGGUUUCCAAGCAACAAUCAGUGCUCCUCAUAUGCAUGCAUACGCACUAGAACUCCUGUUUGACCAGUUGCAUGAAGGUGCUAAAGCCCUUGAUGUAGGGUCUGGAAGUGGAAUCCUUACCUCGUGCUUUGCCCGGAUGGUUGGACAUAGCGGAAAAGUUAUUGGAAUUGAUCACAUUAAAGAACUAGUAGAUGACUCAAUAAACAAUGUCAAAAAAGAUGACCCGAUGCUUCUGUCCUCGGGGCGAGUGCGGCUGGUUGUGGGUGAUGGAAGAAUGGGAUACCCUGAAGAAGCCCCUUAUGAUGCUAUUCACGUAGGAGCUGCAGCACCAGUUGUGCCCCAGGCACUAAUAGACCAGCUGAAGCCUGGUGGAAGAUUGAUAUUGCCAGUCGGUCCAGCAGGUGGAAACCAAAUGCUGGAGCAGUAUGACAAGCUACAAGAUGGCAGUGUCAAGAUGAAGCCUCUCAUGGGGGUGAUAUACGUGCCUUUAACAGACAAAGAGAAGCAGUGGUCCAGUUGCUGGUCCAGUGCUGCACGUGGCUGAGUGAGUGGUUUCUUUGGAGCUGGUAGAGCUGCCUUAGGAAAUCAGCCGACAGGUAUGAACUGUAAAGGCAACAUGAGCUUGACCAGUCUAUAACAUUGCAGUGGAUUGCUCAUCUCGGUCCUUAAAGCAUUUGAAAACCAACAGCAUCAGCUUGUUUUGGACUUCGUUACACUCUUAUUUUCAGCAUGAAAAUGUGUGGUUUUGUAGGGUUUCCUAAUUCAAAGAGGUGCAGAGCCAAACUGGUAGAGGCUGGCUGCAAAGCAUAACUUUGUGUGUGGUUUUAACACGCCCACAUCUUACUUUAAAAAUAUUAAAAGAAAGGGUUCUCCAACUGGAAAGCUUCAUUUGUGAUUUAGUUUUGAAGAGUGGCUUUGCUUUUCUUGGACACUUAAUUCAGUUCCAAUAUUAUUUAUCAGAUUUCUUUUGUGCAUCAGAUAACACCACGUUCAUAAGUUAGGUUUCUUGGUAGCUAAUAUUUGUUAGCUGCUACUAAGACAAUAGAGAUGAGCUUUCUUCUUAAAGCUUUUGUUGUGGCGUCAUAGGAUCGCAUGUUGUAGAUACAGUCAGCUGCUGUUACCCUAAAACCAGGUGUUUGUAAAUACUGAAACUUAAGACGAUGGCAGGUGGCCCCCAGUGCGGCCGUUCAGGUUGGACAUCUCUGGUGAACUGUCCUCUCUGAAGAUGAUAGGAGGCUUGUAGCUCACCCAUCGUUUUUUUGUUUCUAGUUUGCUGCUGAUAAUGUAUCUGCAUCUAACACUGUAAGCUGCUGCGUCCCUGCAGUUUAUGCAGUGCUGCUUUGCCAAAUAAAAUUAAAAGCAAAAGAA